UGGAAAAGGAUGUGGGAUUUCGAAGACAGCUAGGAUGUUGGCUUAGAAGCAGCCACACAUUCAAAGAGUGCGUAAUAGCUCACUAGUCGAGAGGUCUUGCGCCGAAAAUGUCCGGGGCUAAAACACAACACCGAAGCUUAGGAAUGUAGCAAUACAUUGGUAGAGGAGCAUUUUUAUAGGCGUAGAAGCUGUACCGAUAAGGAGCAGUGGAGUAAUAAAAAGAGAGAAUGCCGGAAUGAGUAGCGAGAUGAAGGUGAGAAUCCUUCAGGCCGAAUAUCUAAGGUUUCCAGAGUAAAGCUGAUCUGCUCUGGGUAAGUCGGGACCUAAGGCAAGGUCGAAAGACGUAGUCGAUGGACAACAGGUUUAGAUUCCUGUACCGCUUAUUAUCAGAAAUGUGGGGACACAGAGACGUAUCCAAACCCAGGAAUGCAAAGACUGGGGCAAGCCAAGUACUGGUAUGGCAGGAAAAUCCGCCAUGCAACAGGAAUAGGUGAUGCGGACCGAAAUCAAGUAGGGAAGUUGGAGAAGGAGCUGUCAAGAAAAGCCGCUAUUGUGUAAUAAGUGCCCGUACCGUAAACCGACACAGGUGGAUGAGGAGAGAAUCCUAAGGCCGGCGGGAGAAGCAUUGUUAAGGAACUCGGCAAAAUGACCCCGUAACUUCGGGAGAAGGGGUGCCAUCCUCCGGGAUGGCCACAGAAAAUAGGCUCAAGCAACUGUUUAGCAAAAACACAGGUCUAUGCGAAACCGAAAGGUGAGGUAUAUGGGCUGACGCCUGCCCGGUGCUGGAAGGUUAAGAGGAGAAGUCAGGCAACGAAGCUUUGAAUUGAAGCCCCAGUAAACGGCGGCCGUAACUAUAACGGUCCUAAGGUAGCGAAAUUCCUUGUCGGGUAAGUUCCGACCCGCACGAAAGGCGUAAUGAUUUGAGCGCUGUCUCAACAAUGCACCCGGUGAAAUUGAAGUACCAGUGAAGAUGCUGGUUACCUGCGCCAGGACGGAAAGACCCCAUGGAGCUUUACUCUAGUUUGAUACUGGGAUUCGAUUAUACCUGUACAGGAUAGGUGGGAGGCGAAGAAGCAAGGACGCCAGUCUUUGCAGAGCCGCUGUUGGGAUACCACCCUUGUAUGAUUGGAUUUCUAACCUGCGCCCGUGAUCCGGGUGGGGGACACUGUCAGAUGGGGAGUUUGACUGGGGCGGUCGCCUCCGAAAGGGUAUCGGAGGCGCUCAAAGGUUCCCUCAGAAUGGUCGGAAACCAUUCAAAGAGUGCAAAGGCAGAAGGGAGCUUGACUGCGACACCGACGGGUGGAGCAGGUACGAAAG
rnacentral:rRNA from 1 species